GAGGGGAAGAUACCAUAUGAAUAUCUCUGAAGGAUAACAGUACUUACUUGGAAGGUGUAGUUUAUCUUUCCGGUGUACAAAAAAAAAGUAGUACCUACCAUCUUAUGUGAGGUUUCUUGUAAGUUCCCUCAAAUCUAGAACUCUAUUGUAACAAAGUUAUUAUCUCCAUGAUAAUUUUAUUCCCAUGGAUCAUGCACAAAUUCCAGCCAACCCCUUUUCUCUUAGGUUUUCUCUUUCUAUAGUGGUUUUUACGUUUCUAC
rnacentral:lncRNA from 1 species